rnacentral:rRNA from 1 species
AGUGAACGCUGGCGGUAGGCCUAACACAUGCAAGUCGAACGGCAGCACAGUAAGAGCUUGCUCGUACGGGUGGCGAGUGGCGGACGGGUGAGGAAUACAUCGGAAUCUACUUUUUCGUGGGGGAUAGCGUAGGGAAACUUACGCUAAUACCGCAUACGACCUACGGGUGAAAGCAGGGGAUCUUCGGACCUUGCGCGAGUGAAUGAGCCGAUGUCGUAUUAGCUAGUUGGCGGGGUAAAGGCCCACCAAGGCGACGAUCCGUAGCUGGUCUGAGAGGAUGAUCAGCCACACUGGAACUGGGACACGGUCCAGACUCCUAAGGGACGCAGCAGUGGGGAAUGGUGGACAAUGGGGGCAAGUAUGAUCCAGCCAUCGCGCGUGGGUUAAGAAGGCCUUCCGGUUGUAAAGCCCUUUUGUUGGGAAAGAAAAGCAGCAGGUUAAUACGACGCUGUUCUGACGGUACCCAAAGAAUAAGCACCGGCUAACUUCGUG